rnacentral:rRNA from 1 species
GAUGAACGCUGGCGGCGUGCCUAAUACAUGCGAGUCGAGCGAACAGAUAAGGAGCUUGCUCCUUUGACGUUAGCGGCGGACGGGUGAGUAACACGUGGGUAACCUACCUAUAAGACUGGAAUAACUCCGGGAAACCGGGGCUAAUGCCGGAUAACAUUUAGAACCGCAUGGUUCUAAAGUGAAAGAUGGUUUUGCUAUCACUUAUAGAUGGACCCGCGCCGUAUUAGCUAGUUGGUAAGGUAACGGCUUACCAAGGCAACGAUACGUAGCCGACCUGAGAGGGUGAUCGGCCACACUGGAACUGAGACACGGUCCAGACUCCUACGGGAGGCAGCAGUAGGGAAUCUUCCGCAAUGGGCGAAAGCCUGACGGAGCAACGCCGCGUGAGUGAUGGAGGUCUUCGGAUCGUAAAACUCUGUUAUUAGGGAAGAACAAAUGUGUAAGUAACUGUGCACGUCUUGACGGUACCUAAUCAGAAAGCCACGGCUAACUACGUG